rnacentral:rRNA from 1 species
UACGUAGGGUGCAAGCGUUAAUCGGAAUUACUGGGCGUAAAGCGUGCGCAGGCGGUUAUGUAAGACAGGUGUGAAAUCCCCGGGCUUAACCUGGGAACGGCCUUUGUGACUGCAUAGCUAGAGUACGGUAGAGGGGGAUGGAAUUCCGCGUGUAGCAGUGAAAUGCGUAGAUAUGCGGAGGAACACCGAUGGCGAAGGCAAUCCCCUGGACCUGUACUGACGCUCAUGCACGAAAGCGUGGGGAGCAAACAGG